UAGGGAAUCUUCCGCAAUGGGCGAAAGCUUGACGGAGCAACGCCGCGUGAGUGAUGAAGGUCUUCGGAUCGUAAAACUCUGUUAUUAGGGAAGAACAAAUGUGUAAGUAACUAUGCACGUCUUGACGGUACCUAAUCAGAAAGCCACGGCUAACUACGUGCCAGCAGCCGCGGUAAUACGUAGGUGGCAAGCGUUAUCCGGAAUUAUUGGGCGUAAAGCGCACGUAGGCGGACUAUUAAGUCAGGGGUGAAAUCCCGGGGCUCAACCCCGGAACUGCCUUUGAUACUGGUAGUCUUGAGUUCGAGAGAGGUGAGUGGAAUUCCGAGUGUAGAGGUGAAAUUCGUAGAUAUUCGGAGGAACACCAGUGGCGAAGGCGGCUCACUGGCUCGAUACUGACGCUGAGGUGCGAAAGCGUGGGGAGCAAACAGG
rnacentral:rRNA from 1 species